CUUCCAGGUGUACGGGUACCCAAACACAACCACAUCGUAUGCAAAUCGCAAGUCUGAAUUAAAUUUUCUACACACAUGUACCUAAAAAGUGUACCACAGUCACCGUGUAGUUUGAAUACUUUUACUUGAAGGAGAGGAUUGUGCACACAGGUGCAGUACGAAUGUCAACUGUAGUUUUCAGAGUGAGGAGUCUGCACACUUAGAAUCGUUUUUGUUGCGUUUUAUUUUUUCAUGGCAGGAUAACGUACCUCAACAGUCUUCUUCAGAUUCUCUACAAACACAGUCUGAGUGGUGAUUAGAACAUGCCUGGCAUCCAAGGGUGUGGCCAGUUUGUUAACCCUUUACACUCUACACUUUACAAUUAGAAUUAUUGUACACUGUCUGGACAAGAUGUAGAAUACUACUGAGCGACAGUGAUAUGUCAUGUUCUUAAUACUGUUAUAUCCUGUCAUUACAGACAAGGCGGCCGGAAACUUUGAUGACCUCAAUGACACUGGCUAGGUGAAGGACAUCAACAAAAUGGCAUCAGGUCACCAGACAUCAGCUCAUAAUCCACAACGUCAUCAACCAUUUUGCGCCAAAAAUGAAGCCGUUCACAUACCAUGGCAUCCUAAGCAGGCAGCACUACACUACUGUGCAACAGUGAGAGAGAGCGGGCAAGGACAAGUAAAGCGGACAAGGACAAGUAAAGCGGACCUACACUACAGCAAGACUUUGACACUUCUCCACGUUAGAGGCAGCCAUCACCCCCACCGUUGAGCAGCGGCUAUGUGUAACCCCCAAAAGAGGAGAUGAUCCGACGAUGUGUGUGUGGUGUGUGCGUGUGUGUGUGUGUGAUGUAUGAUAUUGUAACACUUCAGUCCUUCUUUUAUACUAUACAGUGUAUACAUAUACAUUUGUGGGUUUGUUUAAAAACCAUUGCUGAGGUUAAGAAAUGCAUUAUGACAAAUACAUCUGAUUCAGGUGUACUGUCUUUUAUUUGCCACAAAUAAAUCACAUCCUGGAAACCUG